UACGGAGGGUGCAAGCAUUAAUCGGAUUUACUGGGCGUAAAGAGCGCGCAGGCGGUCUUUUAAGUCGAAUGUGAAAGCCCCCGGCUCAACUGGGGAGGGUCAUUCGAUACUGAUCGACUUGAAGGCAGGAGAGGGUAGUGGAAUUCCCGGUGUAGUGGUGAAAUGCGUAGAUAUCGGGAGGAACACCAGUGGCGAAGGCGACUUCCUGGCCUGUUCUUGACGCUGAGGCGCGAAAGCUAGGGGAGCAAACGGG
rnacentral:rRNA from 1 species